CUAAAGCGAAAAGGUUGUAUAAAACCCAGCUGAAGGCCUAGGACUGGGGCGACGGCGCGUGUGCCCACAGAGAGGGCUCUGAGUGCCAUAGGUUCACCACCACUGGUAUAAAUUAUUAUGACAAAGCUCUAAAGCAGCUUUUCCUAGGCUCAUGUUUUUCAAAUAUGUUGGAAUUACAGCUUCCAGAAUUCUUAUGCCUGUUGUUCAUUCUGGCUAGGACUAGGUUAUUCUUUGAUUUGUACUCAUAACAUAUAUGUGAACAUUAGAACAUCUUGUAUAUAAACACUGAGUAGAUUCAACGAUAGGGAAAACAACACCAAGGUCCAUUGAUAAAAAAAAGAUGGAAAGAAAAGAUCUAAAAUUUAAAUCCUGGGAGGGAGGGAGAGAUGGAUGGAUGGAUGAUAGAUGAAUAAAUGAUGGAUGCAUGGAUCAAAGGAUGGGUGGAUGUGUAGGAUGGUGAGAGAAGCAGACUGAUUUGUGUGUUCUAUGAUAGGCAUAUCUCUACAUGUAUUUUUUUGUCUGCUAUGUCAUAUUUGGAAGCUUCUGCUGUAAGCAAAUUCCUAAAUACUGUACAGGGUUGAUUGUUUUCAUUAUUGAGAUUUAUUUGUAUGUCUGAUGUGAAGUCAGAUAGCAAGAUUUGCCUGUUUCUAUUCAUAAUACUAAGGGAAGAAAUGCUACACUUCAACAGCUUUCAUAAUGAUUACAGAUCCCAUUAAGUAUACAUUAUAUCACCUGUGCCUUCUCAGGACCAGGUUACCACCCAGAUGGACCAGGUAGUUCAGCAAGUGGGGCAGAAUCUAGCACAACCAGCAGUCCCUUUACCAGUUCUGGCCCAAGAUUCGUCAGCUGUUGGAACAGCAACUUUCUGAUGCUGUGUGCUCAUCUUCACCUACCUGGCAAAUAUGAUGGGAAUCCUGGCAAAUUUGCUACCUUCCUGAAUUAUAAAUCUCUAUAAACUUAAAGCUUUUUCCAUGGAUCAGUCUCACAUAUCAUAGGUAAUUAGUCUAAUAAUGAAACAGAACUGCAAAAUAGCCAUAGUUGAAAAAUUGGCAACUUCCUUUCUGGUACAGAACAGCACAGGCUUGGACAACUGCAUCAAUGUUAUGACACUGAUAAAGUCUAACUUCAAUGAUUCAAUUACACAAGUGACCCCUAGUUGUGGAAACUAUAAUCUCCAACAGGAUGGUACUAGACAGGAAGAAGCCGAAGAGGAGCUUAGUGAGGAAGAGCCUUGGUUUGGGAACUCUUCAGAAACCCCAUCAGAAGCAUCUUAUGGAGAAAUCCAGGAGAACUUCAAAUUAUCCUUUGAGGAUAGGAUCCAAGAACAAUCCACAUCUCCAGAUACUUCUUUGGGUAGUGGGACUCCUAGCAGCAACACAUUGGAAUUGGUGGUUGUUGAGAAUGAGGGCAUGAGAGAUGUAUUACAGAACAAGGAACAUCUCUCUUCUAGCGUAUCUUCUAUCUGUGAUGAUGAUAAUAAUCCUGGCCCAAACAAGCCGUUGAGUAGUAACUUGAGACGUCUGUUGGAGGCUGGCUCUCUCAAGCUAGACACUACUAUCACAGUUAAUGGCCGGGUUGAGUCCCCAGUAAAUCUUGGCUCAAAUAUCUCUUUUUCUCCAGCUACACAUCAUGCCCAGCAGCUAAGUGUCCUUGCAAGAAAGCUAGCUGAAAAACAGGAACAAAACGAUCAGUAUGGCCCAAACACAGGUUUCAUAUGGAAUCAAGGCAAAUGGUUGCCUAACUCAAUGCCCUCUUGCAGCUUGUCUCCAGAUUCAGCAAUUCUAAAAUUGAAAGCCGCUGCCAAUGCAGUCCUUCAGGACAAGUCUCUUUCUCGAACUGAAGAUCCAACAGUAAGGUUUGAAACCUUCCCUUCACCAUUUAGUUCUCAAUCAGCAAGCUCCACCUUGGCUGCAUUAUCAAAGAAGGUCAGUGAAAGAAGCAUGACUCCUGGUCAGGACCACUCACCACCAGCAAAUUCUUUCCUUUCUCUCACCUCAAUGACUUCUUCAGCAGCCCUACUCAAGGAGGUGGCUGCAAGAGCUGCAGGCAGCCUUUUGGCUGAAAAGAAAAAGUCACUGAUUGUAGAAACCCCCCUGCAGCUUUCAGACAUGAAGCAAGAGAAAGUGACUCCACCACAGUCUUUGGAACUAUUGUUACUCCCAGCCCCUAAAGGAAGAGCUUCUAAAACCACAAAUUCAGCCUCAGAAGAAGAAAGUGGAAAACCUUUCCAAUGUCCAAUCUGUGGCUUGGUUAUAAAAAGGAAGAGCUACUGGAAACGGCACAUGGUGAUCCAUACAGGCUUAAAAAGUCAUCAGUGUCCUUUGUGUCCAUUUCGUUGUGCACGGAAAGACAAUUUGAAGUCACAUAUGAAGGUUCACCAACACCAGGACCGGGGAGAGACAUUUCAGUGCCAGCUGUGUCCAUUUACUUCCUCUCGCCAUUUCAGUCUGAAACUCCACAUGCGUUGCCACCAACACUUUCUGAGGACAGAAGCCAAAGUGAAGGAAGAGAUUCCAGAAAUGGAUGUCAAGGUCUCACCACUACUGAGUGAUAACUCCAGAAUGGGUCAGGAGGUGGAUGGAGGAACAGACCAUGUAGGGACUACUGCUGCCUCUAGAUCUCCUGAUGCACUUGGGCAGGUGGGAACUAUCAUUCCAUCUCUGCUAGUCAAAGAAGAACCCAAAGAUGACAGCAGUGCCCCUAGCCCCUCUUUAGCCCUCAAUGUUGUUGACAGAAUUGCCAACAGUACAAAGCUAAAAGACUCAAUUGACUUUGUGACCAAUACAGCAUCAGCACUUUUCAGUCAAGAUAUAUCGGUCAAGAUGGCUUCAGAUUUUCUCAUGAAACUUUCAGCUGCAAAUCAAAAAGAACCCUUGACGCCCACAUUUAAAGUGAAAGAAGAACCGAAAGAUGAGGACAGUGCAAGCUCCACGUUGUCUCAAACCAGUUACGGUUUUAGUCAUGAACCUGAAGUAUCUGCUCCAAGUAUUCCUAAGGAGACUCUCAAACCACAAGAAGUGCCAGCAAAUGUAAUGCAACAGGAUAUGUCAGUCAAAGCAGCAUCUGAACUUCUCAUGAAAUUAUCAGCAGAAAGUUGCAAGGAAUCCCAGACAAUAAAGAUUAAAGAAGAACCAAUGGAGGUUGAGAUUCAUGACUCCCAUGCUUCUGUUUCACCUAGCCAAAACGUCAGUUACAGCACUUUACUCAGGCAAGAGAUAACUGAACAGGUUCAAAAGAUCCCUGAAAGCCGUGUAGUUCCGGAGAGAAACCUCUUUAGCCAAGAUAUAUCUGUGAAAAUGGCUUCAGAAUUACUUUUUCAAUUGUCAGAAAAAGUGAGCAAAGAGCACAAUCAAUCUAAAGAUAAUACCAUCACAAUUACAACUAGCCCAUUUUUUUCUGAAGAUACUUUUAGACAAUCACCAUUCACUUCCAACUCAAAAGAUCUUCUGUCUAAUGAGAGUGCUGUUCAGGGAAGAACAUCAGUUCUAGAAACAGAGAAGAUAGGACUGGAAACUGGAAAUGGGUUGCCGUCCUGGAAAUUUAAUGACCAGCUCUUUCCUUGUGAUGUAUGUGGAAAAGUGUUUGGCCGACAACAGACGUUGUCCCGACAUCUCUCCCUGCACACGGAAGAGAGAAAAUAUAAAUGCCAUUUGUGCCCAUAUGCUGCUAAGUGCCGUGCUAAUCUGAACCAGCAUCUGACUGUGCAUUCUGUGAAGUUGGUGAGUACAGACACUGAGGACAUUGUCAGCGCUGUCACAUCUGAAGGCAAUGAUGGAAAGAAGCAUCCUUAUUACUACAGUUGUCAUGUGUGUGGAUUUGAAACAGAGCUGAAUGUCCAGUUUGUCAGUCAUAUGUCGCUUCAUGUGGAUAAAGAACAAUGGAUGUUUUCUAUUUGCUGCACAGCCUGUGAUUUUGUUACCAUGGAAGAGGCAGAGAUGAAGGCUCAUGUUGCCACCAAGCAUACAGGUGAUAACCUCUCUCUGUGUCCAGGUGAAGAAAGGAAAACACCCAAUGAUUCAACCAGUCCUUCUUCUUCUUCCUUGUCAGCACUUAGUGAUUCUGCCAAUAGUAAAGAAGAUGCAGAUAUCAGCCCCAAGCCCAAGGGACCCAAUAACCUGCUAGUUAUUUCCGUAGUGCCUGGUAGUCAGACUCUAUUAAAUGCGGAAGAAAAAUCAGAGAAAGGUUUUGAAUGUGUUUUCUGUAACUUUGUCUGCAAAACAAAAACCAUGUUUGAGCGCCAUUUGCAAAUCCACCUGAUUACACGGAUGUUUGAAUGUGAUGUGUGCCACAAGUUCAUGAAGACUCCUGAGCAAUUACUGGAGCACAAGAAAUGCCAUACUGUCCCCACUGGUGGGCUCAAGUGUCCCUUCUGCAUUUAUUCCACAAACCGUCCAGCAGCGAUGGAAUGCCAUUUGAAAACCCACUACAAAAUGGAGUACAAGUGCCGGAUCUGCCAAGCAGUGAAAGCCAACCAGCUCGAGCUGGAAAUGCACGUUCGAGAGCAUCGCCUUGGCAACCACUACAAGUGUGAUCAGUGUGGCUAUCUUUCAAAGACUGCCAACAAGCUGAUAGAGCAUGUGCGUGUGCAUACAGGGGAACGCCCUUUUCACUGUGACCAGUGCAGCUACAGCUGCAAACGCAAAGACAAUCUCAACCUGCACAAGAAACUCAAGCAUGCGCCCCGGCAGACCUUCAGCUGUGAAGAGUGCCUCUUCAAGACCACCCACCCAUUUGUCUUCAGCCGCCAUGUGAAGAAACAUCAAAAUGGUGACUGCUCUGAAGAGGAGAAAAAAGGGCAGGGUGUGAAUUCUAAGGAAGCCAGGCCCCUGCUCGUGGCCAACAGUUCCCACAGCCUCUUGUCCCCUCUCUCAUUGAUGUCAGCCUCCCAUGCUUUACAGACAGUGGCCAUGUCAGCCGCUCAAAGUGGCCGGGCAGAGCUGAGGUCCUUGACCGUAAACGGCACUUCCCUGUGCUUUGAUAAAUACCGGAACUCUGAGUUUGCCCACCUCAUUCCCUUGACCAUGUUUUUCCCAAAAAACCACUUUGAAAUCACAUUCCAUUCACCUCAAUCACAGAGCCUACGUUUGGAUGACACUUCGCCAAAACACUCCUUCCUUGCCUAUCUCGGACUAACAGAAAGAGCAGAGGCUCUCUAGGACAGCCUCCUCUGUACCAAAAAUCCUCCACACCGCACCCCGUCACACCCACCAGACUCCAAGCAGAUUUUGUUUCAAACGAUAGAUCCAAGAGUUUGGCUGCCCAACCAAUUGUACAAUAUAUCAUUAGGAGUAAGACACAUUAAAGAACAUGGCUCCAUGUGUCUCCUUAAUACAUGGCCUUGAAGGCUGCUUUGUUAAACCUUCAGACAGAUGACCUCCUACAUAUUUCUACUUUCAGAGGCAUGUUUCUGUACUCUCACCUGAGAAACGUUUUUGUCUCUUAAGCUGAACAAGAGUGUCCUUAAUGGCAGUCAGCACUAGCUAAGAUGACCCUUUGAUGCAUUUGACUUUGGGUUGCGAAUCUGAGCAUUUCUAAAAAAAAGAGUUUGUGUGCCAUGGCAUUGCUUUUGCACAUCCUUUUGUACUGGCUUAUUUAAUAUGAACUUAAGCUGCCUUAUGCUGCAUCAGACAGUCCAUCAAGCCCAAUAUUGUCUAUUAUGAUUGACUCCUCUUCUCCAGGGUCUCAAAUAGAAGUCAUUUCUAGCAGCUGUUUCCUGAGAUUUCUUAACUAGAGAUGCUGGGGACUGAAUCUGGGAUCUUUAUACGUACAAAGCAUGUGCUCUACCACUGAGCUGUAGCCCCACCCCUGUGAAACAUUGUAGUCGUCCAUGCUUGCUCACCUUGCCUGCUUCUCUUUUAUUGCUCAGUUAUAGAAUGUAAGAAUGGCAAUCAAGAAGAACUAGCAUGGCAGUCAGUCCUGCUGGGAAUUUGCUAUGUUACAGCGGCUAGGUUAGUCUCACAUCUUAGAGUCUGAUGGUCAGGGCAAAAACAGAAGAGGGGAAAUUACUUUAGCCUUGCAAGGUGAUGCUAUUUCAUAUGAUAACUUUUUUCUUACAUGGAGAUAUUCUGUAUGGCCGUGCAGGUACACAUGUAAUAUGAAGGGCUUUUCUCUGUGUACACACUUGAGUAGCCAAGUUUUCAUACCUGCUGCUCCGUGGAUUUAUUCAUGUUCUGACCCUUCCCAGCAAAAAAAACCACUCCUAUUACCCUUGAAAUAAUACCGUCAAUGUGAUUAUCUCUAUGAAUGAAAAAAGAUAAUGUUUAAAGCAGUCCUGAAUACAUAAUAGUGAUGUAUGAGAAGGCAACUAGAUUUAUAAACAACAACUGUGUUGCAUACAUGCUCCCAAUUUGAUUGUUUGGUUACGUUCACGUGACUUGGUCCUUUUUAAAAAUAAUUUUGGCUACAAAUACCCAAUAGCAAGGUACAUACGAUAAGGCAUUUGUUUUAGACUGGACAUAUACAUUACAUUUAAAUUACUGCUUUCCUUGGUCAGAUAACGAGACAGAAACCUGAUCAUUUUGUCAACUCGCUUCUAGUCAACAAAGAAAAAUAUCUGAUUCAAAAAUAGCACUGUUCAAAUUUGAUGCAAGGCGACUACAGAAAAAUAUAGCAAACAGCCCUCAGACCACAAAAUCACAUCUACACAUUCUCAGUUGGUCUGAAUGCAGUGGUUAGCUUAGUUUGUGAGGGCAAGGAUGCACAUUUAGAAGUGAUUAAACCCAGAAGGAAUUUUUAAAAGGAAGGAUUUCUUAAAUUCUGGGCAAUAGGGCUCAGACUAAAUAAAGGCAGUUUUUGCACAGUGGUUGAGUCUUGCACUAGUAUGUUUCUCACUAGCAAAAAAAAAAGUAAAAGUAAGAAACAUAUCAAAGAUAAUGUUUCUUUUUUUUACUGAAAAAUAUCGUGCAAGUUCUUUCAAAUGGAAGGAAAAAAGGUGCUGUUUAAUGAUAGAAUUCUCUUUUAUAUGUCCAACUAUUCAGCUAUAUUGGCAACUUCAUGUUCUAUCCCCUUCAUGCUAUUUGUAUUUCUUUAUAACAUUUGCUAAUGUUUACUCAAGUAUACUCUUCUAGGAAGGUAACUUUAUAUUUUCUUAAGGCUCUUAUUUUUAGUCAUUAAAAUGACAUAAAUAUUGCACUUUAUUGCAGUAGAAGCAAAUGUUGCAUUCCUAAUGAUUGAGUUAAAUAUUAACAUUUCCUAAGAUUUUUUUUAAAAAUGCCCAUGCACUGAACAUUUAUUAUAAAUCACUACCAUAAAUUCCCUACUAAAGAAAUAUGGGGGAGGGGGGAAUUCAGAGAUUUUACAACAGAGAACAAGGAAGGGAAAAGCCUAAAUACCAGCCAUUUAUAACACUGAAAUAACAAGCAUAGUCAAAAUAAUGAAAGUUCACAAAGAAGUUUAACCAACAUAAGGACUUAUUUGGCUAACUGUUAUGGUAAAAUAAGUCAUUGUUCUAAAUCUCCUAAUAAAUUUUGGGGCCCUGUUUAUUGCACUAAAUUCUGAUAAAAAUACUUUUUGAAAUUUUGUAAACUAUUCAUCAAAAGGAUAAGGUUGAGAAACACUGGUGUAAUGUAAUGAACUAACUGUGACUAUGCAAUAGUCAGCAUCACUUCUUGGAGCCUUCCCCAGCCGUUCAUUGUGCUGGCAGAGGCUGCUUGAGGGUGGAAGCCCAAUGUAUGCUGAAGCAUAAAAUAGAGGAAGGUUGAGUUUCCGAUCCUGUUCCCAUGACAUGAUUAACCUCAUCCAUGCGCCAGGUUAUACUCACCAUCCAUUGUCAGUGGAUCGGUCCAUGGGCUGAGAGCCAAUGUUUAAAAUUCUGUUGUUGUUGAGGGGCCGGAACACAUUUUCUGCUUUUCCUUUUUUUCACCCUACAUCAGAGUGAAGAAAUAAAUUUCAAGAAGGGUGUUCUUACCCAUUUAUUAGUCCUUUUUCUGCUAUUCAGUCACAAGAGGGUGGAAACCAAAUCAGCCAUAUAGAUGGAAUGUCUAGGGGAAAAAAACCCUUUCACAGGCCUCUCUAGAAUUUCAUCUCUAUCCAAGGCAAGAUCAGUGUUAAUUAAUCACAUGGUCAGUGGCAACGUGGCUAACCAGAGGGAUUUAAUUUAGUUCUUUGCAAACUUGUUUAUGGCUAGUUUUAAGUCCCUUGUGUCUGGUUGCUAUCUCAGUUAAUCCAUAAGUUAACCCUGUUGGCCAGAUAAGUGUCAUGGGAAAAGGGUCAUUAAUAGUCCUCUCCUUUACUUGUUUCCAGUGAUGCACAUCUUGGGGGAUAGGGCUCCCGUACACCCUAACCUCAUGAGUACUGAAGCCUGGCAACAGAAGACUAGUAAAGAAUAGGGUGUAAUCUGGGAGUACUCUGUCACAUGGGAGUAGAGCAGUGGCAGAUCCAGCUGUGCAACAGUAAUGGUGUUCUAAUAGUACAAGUGGGAUUUUGCAAUAAAUGAAUGAUCUGGCCAAUUUCUCUUACCCAGAAUGUGGCUGCGACAGCAUUGCCAAAUAGUGAAUGAAAGUUUGAUCUCAAUUAUCUAAUCCGACCUUCUCCAACCCAGUACCUUCCAUGCAUGUUGGAUUACAGCUUUUCUCCAUUCCAGACAGCAUACUUUGGCCAUGAUUAAAGUUAUGCAUCAGUUCAUGUGGAGGGUACCAGGCUGAAGCAACCUAAGCUCUGGAGGUUUGGGAAACUUGUUUUGGGAGUAACCUUGAAGCAAUUAUUCAGCUACAGUUGAUAUUAAAGGUAUAAGCUUCAUAAAUCUCUUCGACUGAUGAUUUUGGAAGAAAUAAAGUUAACACUCAUUAGGGAGCAUAAUGAUUUAGAAUGCUAACAAUUUGUGGCAAAAAUAAUAACGGAGAUUUCUUCCUACAAGUGGCUACUGCAGUUAGUUACAUAUAUUCAAGGUGUUUUAAGACAACUUCCCAAAAACCAGUGACCCUACAAAAAAGAAAAAAAAAGUAUUGUGCCAGCAAGUAAGCUACGCAUGCAUAGGAAUGUUAUAAACAUUUUUUCUGUAAACCAAAUAGUGCAAUAUACAUAGGGGAUUUCAAGGAAUGAGAGUAUUAUGAUGCUAUGAGCAAUUUAAUGCCUUGGGUUUAACCAGCUUCCUUUUGUAUUUGUCAUUGUAAUGCUUAAUAUAAUUGGGCAGCUUUAUUUAGCACUUUGACCACUGAAUUAUUUCUGGAAAGUUAAUUAUGCAUUGUUUCUGUUUAAGAUGAAAAAAAGAAUUUGAGGUGUUUUUAUUUUUUUAAGAAAAAAAUAUACAAUAUUUAUCAGCCCUUGCAUACCCAAGAAUUGGUUUGCUGUUUGACGCGAAAACUAGGAAUGCUCACUAAUAUACCUUUUGCUUAUUAAAAAAAAAAACGUAAUAUUUGUACCAACAGUUCACUUUGUACCUGUUUUUCCCCACUAUGCACUCCUUAAAAUAGCCUGGCUUCUUGUUUUCAAUUGGUUAGAUUCUCAGCACCUUUCUUGCUUUCCCUUUUUCUUUUAACUUGCUGUAUCAUAUUCAAAUAUCACACUGUCAAGGUUUGUGUACAUUAAUGGAAAUUUGUAAUGUAUAAAGCUUUUUUGCAUUAUAAGGCUGUACAGGGUCAUUUUGACAGUAAUUAGUAUAUUUCUCUGCAUCUUAUGUUGCAUUGCCAAUUUCUAGUGUAUCCAGUUUGGAAGUAUAUAUAAUCAAAUUAAAACAAAGUUGUCUAUACUCUGCCA